rnacentral:rRNA from 1 species
AGCAGCCGCGGUAAUUCCAGCUCCAAUAGCGUAUAUUAAAGUUGUUGCAGUUAAAAAGCUCGUAGUUGAACCUUAGGCCCGUGCGGGCGGUCCGUCCUCUGGGCGAGCACUGCUCCGUCGCGGGUCUCACCUUCUGGCGAGCGUGGAUGCCAUUUAUUUGGUGUCCGCGGGAACCAGGACCUUUACCUUGAAAAAAUUAGAGUGCUCAAAGCGGGCUCCGACGCUUGAAUACAUUAGCAUGGAAUAAUGAAAUAGGACGAUGGUUCUAUUUUGUUGGUUUCCGGGACCGUCGUAAUGAUUAAUAGGGAUAGUUGGGGGCAUUCGUAUUCAAUUGUCAGAGGUGAAAUUCUUGGAUUUAUUGAAGACUAACUACUGCGAAAGCAUUUGCCAAGGAUGUUUUCAUUAAUCAAGAACGAAAGUUAGGGGAUCGAAGACGAUCAGAUACCGUCGUAGUCUUAACCAUAAACUAUGCCGACUAGGGAUCGGAUGAUGUUGAUUUUUUAAUGA